UACGGAGGGUGCAAGCGUUUGUCCGGAUUUAUUGGGUUUAAAGGGUGCGUAGGCGGCCUAAUAAGUCAGUGGUGAAAGCCUCCAGCUUAACUGGAGAACUGCCAUUGAUACUGUUAGGCUUGAGUAUACUUGAGGUAGGCGGAAUUGACAGUGUAGCGGUGAAAUGCAUAGAUAUUGUCAAGAACACCAAUUGCGAAGGCAGCUUACUAAAUUAUAACUGACGCUGAGGCACGAAAAGUGUGGGUAUCAAACAGG
rnacentral:rRNA from 1 species